GUAUCCUGGCUCAGGAUGAACGCUAGCUACAGGCUUAACACAUGCAAGUCGAGGGGAAACGAUAUUGGAAGCUUGCUUCCGAUAGGCGUCGACCGGCGCACGGGUGAGUAACGCGUAUCCAACCUGCCCACCACUUGGUGAUAACCUUGCGAAAGUAAGACUAAUACCCAAUGACGUCUCUAGAAGACAUCUGAAAGAGAUUAAAGAUUUAUCGGUGAUGGAUGGGGAUGCGUCUGAUUAG
rnacentral:rRNA from 1 species